AUUGAACGCUGGCGGCAGGCCUAACACAUGCAAGUCGAGCGGAGCGGCGGACGGGUGAGUAAUGCCUAGGAAUCUGCCUGGUAGUGGGGGAUAACGUCCGGAAACGGGCGCUAAUACCGCAUACUAUCAGAUGAGCCUAGGUCGGAUUAGCUAGUUGGUGGGGUAAAGGCCUACCAAGGCGACGAUCCGUAACUGGUCUGAGAGGAUGAUCAGUCACACUGGGACGGAGAUCCGGUCCAGACUCCUCCGGGAGGCAGUAGUGGGGAAUUUUGGGAAAUGGUCGUAAGCCUGUUUCAUCCAUUCCGCCUGUGUGAAGAAGGGCUUCGGUUUGUAGAGGACUUUAAGUGCUGACGCUGUACCAGGAUAAUAAGCUCCGGCUAACGUCGUGCCAGCAGCCGCGGUAAUAC
rnacentral:rRNA from 1 species